rnacentral:rRNA from 1 species
UACGAAGGGGGCUAGCGUUGUUCGGAAUUACUGGGCGUAAAGCGUACGUAGGCGGAUUGUUAAGUGAGGGGUGAAAGCCCGAGGCUCAACCUCGGAACUGCCUUCGAUACUGCGGGUCUCGAGUCCGGGAGAGGUGAGUGGAAUUCCUAGUGUAGAGGUGAAAUUCGUAGAUAUUAGGAAGAACACCAGUGGCGAAGGCGGCUCACUGGCCCGGUACUGACGCUGAGGCGCGAAAGCGUGGGGAGCAAACAGG